GGCCGUUUGGCGCAAUGGUAGCGCGUAAGCUUCCGGUUGUACAUCACCUCCUGCUUAAGGCUCUGGGUUCGAGUCCCAGGAUGGUCG
rnacentral:tRNA from 1 species